rnacentral:piRNA from 1 species
UCUGUAUCGAAUGUGUGACUA